rnacentral:tRNA from 1 species
GCUCCUGUAGCUCAGUGGUUAGAGCGCGGUACUUAUAAUGCUGAGGCGCGAGUUCAUCUCGCCAGAGCA